UACGGAGGGUGCGAGCGUUGUCCGGAAUCACUGGGCGUAAAGGGCGCGUAGGCGGCGCGGGGAGUCAACGGUGAAAGCUCGGCGCUCAACGCCGAGUCGGCCGUCGAUACUCCCCGUGCUCGAGCACUGUAGAGGCAGGUGGAAUUCCGGGUGUAGCGGUGGAAUGGCGUAGAGAUCCGGAAGAACACCGGUGGCGAAGGCGGCCUGACUGGGCCAGUAGCUGGACGCUGAGGCGCGACAGCG
rnacentral:rRNA from 1 species